CCUACGGGUGGCAGCAGUGAGGAAUAUUGGUCAAUGGACGCAAGUCUGAACCAGCCAUGCCGCGUGCAGGAAGACGGCUCUAUGAGUUGUAAACUUCUUUUGUACGGGAGUAAAUCUCAAUACGUGUACCGUUUUGUAUGUAUCCUACGAAUAAGGAUCGGCUAACUCCGUGCCAGCAGCCGCGGUAAUACGGAGGAUUCAAGCGUUAUCCGGAUUUAUUGGGUGUAAAGGGUGCGUAGGCGGUUCGUUAAGUUAGAGGUGAAAGCCCGGGGCUCAACCGCGGCACUGCCUCUGAUACUGUCGGGCUAGAGUGCAGUAGAGGUAGGCGGAAUGCAUGGUGUAGCGGUGAAAUGCAUAGAGAUCAUAAAGAACACCGAUUGCGAAGGCAGCUUACCAGACUGCGACUGACGCUGAGGCACGAAAGCGUGGGGAGCAAACAGGAUUAGAUACCCGGGUAGUC
rnacentral:rRNA from 1 species